rnacentral:lncRNA from 1 species
AUUUUGAAUAAAGUUUUGUUAUGUGAAUAAAGAUCCAGCAAUUAAUCAACUGUCCAUAAAAAAAUGACAAUCAUUACUAUUUAAAGACUUGGUCAUGUCUCAAGGGGUCAGUUUCUAAUGUUUUGCACCUGAAUAUUUCUUCUAAUUUUUCUUCUAAUUGAUUUAAUGCCACUAUUUUCAGUAGCAUAAAUAAUCUAGCACUUUUCUCAUGAAUUACAUAAAUUUGAACAUUAAGAAUUUCUUCUGAGAUGCACUGGGCAUGUUCAAAUACAUGCAUGUAGACUUAGAUAGCUAUAAUAUAUCCAAACUAAACUCAAUUUUCAUUGGAUAUUAUCAUAGAUAACAUCAAAGUAGGGCCUAGAAUUGCAGGUUCUAAAGAUCUGUUCUUUCCUGGUACGGUCUGGGAUGAGUCAGAUAAGCAUGGAGGUUGGAAGAGACAUGGCAGACUCAUACCCCUGACCCCAGGGAGGUCCCACACAAAAUGUUCUCACAGACUGAUGCUGGAGGUACUUCACUUCCAUGUCUCUUUGCAUUCCACAAAAACUAACAUGGUAAGUAGAGCAAAAAUUACUACUUAUUUUUGCAAGAAUGGAGUGAUUAAUGUAUUAAGCAAGAAACACAAAUAUAGAAUCGUUUACUAUUUAUUGUAUUCUUCACAUUGGACAGAUACCUGCCUCUUUGUCAACCCUUUAUAAAUAUGUAUCAAAUAAAUAAAGAAAGAAAUCCCUGACUUCAAGUAACUAUAAAAUGUGGAAUAUGAUAAAAUUAUAGUGGUAAAACAAAAGUACAC